AUACUUACCUGGCAGGGGAGACACCAUGAUCAAGAAGGCGGUUCACCCAGGGCGAGGCUUGUCCAUUGCACUCCGGCCAUGCUGACCCCUGCGAAUUCCCCAAAUGCGGGAAUCUCGACUGCAUAAUUUAUGGUAGUGGGGGACUGCGUUCGUUAAGGUGAGGUCUUUUA